rnacentral:rRNA from 1 species
GUCCUUGCCGUAAACGAUGUAUACUUGAUGUAAUUGGGCUCAACCCUGAUUGUGUCGAAGCUAACGCGAUAAGUAUACCGCCUGGGGAGUACGCUCGCAAGGGUGAAACUCAAAAGAAUUGACGGGGGCCCCACACAAGCAGUGGAGCAUGUGGUUUAAUUCUAUGCAACGCGAAGAACCUUACCCAGGCUCGAAAUGUAAAGGACGAUAUCAGAGAUGAUAUUUCCCGCAAGGGCUUUUAUAUAGGUGCUGCAUGGCUGUCGU